rnacentral:rRNA from 1 species
CACGUAGGGGGCAAGCGUUGUCCGGAUUUAUUGGGCGUAAAGAGCUCGUAGGUGGUUCGGUAAGUCAGGUGUGAAACCUCCAGGCUCAACCUGGAGACGCCACUUGAUACUGCUGUGACUGGAGUCCGGUAGGGGAGCGUGGAAUUCCUGGUGUAGCGGUGAAAUGCGCAGAUAUCAGGAGGAACACCAGCGGCGAAAGCGGCGCACUGGACCACAUCUGACGCUGAGGCGCGAAAGCUAGGGGAGCAAACAGG